AGGACGAACGCUGGCGGCGUGCCUAAUACAUGCAAGUCGAACGGUCUUUUCUAUGGAAGCUUGCUUCCACUGAGAAGAUAGUGGCGAACGGGUGAGUAACACGUGGGUAACCUGCCCAUAAGAGGGGGGAUAACAUCCGGAAACGGGUGCUAAUACCGCAUAGUUUUCUUGAUCGCAUGAUUGAGAAAGGAAAGACGGCCUUUGUGCUGUCGCUUAUGGAUGGACCCGCGGCGUAUUAGUUAGUUGGUGAGGUAACGGCUCACCAAGACGAUGAUACGUAGCCGACCUGAGAGGGUGAUCGGCCACAUUGGGACUGAGACACGGCCCAAACUCCUACGGGAGGCAGCAGUAGGGAAUCUUCCGCAAUGGACGAAAGUCUGACGGAGCAACGCCGCGUGAGUGAAAGAAGGUUUUCGGAUCGUAAAACUCUGUUGUCAGAGAAGAACAAGUUGGAGAGUAACUGCUCCAGCCUUGACGGUAUCUGACCAGAAAGCCACGGCUAACUACGUGCCAGCCGCCGC
rnacentral:rRNA from 1 species